rnacentral:misc_RNA from 1 species
GAUGAAGAACGUAGCGAAAUGCGAUACUUGGUGUGAAUUGCAGAAUCCCGUGAACCAUCGAGUCUUUGAACGCAAGUUGCGCCCGAAGCCAUUAGGCCGAGGGCACGCCUGCCUGGGCGUCACACGUCGUUGCCCCCCCAUCUACUCCUUCGGGAUUGCGGGGGGCGGAUGAUGGCCUCCCGUGCGCCUCGCCGCGCGGUUGGCAUAAAUGCCAAGUCCUCGGCGACGCACGCCACGACAAUCGGUGGUUGCGAAACCUCGGUUGCCCGUCGUGGGCAGUCGUCGCGCAUCGAGGGCUCGAAAAAAUUGCCGGGUUCCGGCUCGGCUUUCAACGCGACCCCAGGUCAGGCGGGGUUACCCGCUGAAUUUAAGCAUAUCAAUAAGCGGAGGA